rnacentral:rRNA from 1 species
CCUACGGGAGGCAGCAGUGAGGAAUAUUGGUCAAUGGACGAGAGUCUGAACCAGCAAAGUAGCGUGAAGGAUGACUGCCCUAUGGUCUUUAAACUUCUUUUAUAUGGGAAUAAAAUGUUCCACGUGUGGGAUGUUGUAUGUACCAUAUGAAUAAGGAUCGGCUAACUCCGUGCCAGCAGCCGCGGUAAUACGGAGGAUCCGAGCGUUAACCGGAUUUAUUGGGUUUAAAGGGAGCGUAGGUGGUUUGUUAAGUCAGUUGUGAAAGUUUGCGGCUCAACCGUAAAAUUGCAGUUGAAACUGGCAGUCUUGAGUACAGUAGAGGUGGGCGGAAUUCGUGGUGUAGCGGUGACAUGCUUAGAUAUAUCGAAGAACUCCGAUUGCGAAGGCAGCUCACUGGUCUGCAACUGACACUGAGGCUCGAAAGUGUGGGUAUCAAACAGGAUUAGUUACCCCAGUAGUC